rnacentral:rRNA from 1 species
GUCUACAGCCAUGCCACCCUGAGCAAGCCCGAUCCCGUCUGAUCUCGGAAGCUUAGCAGGGUCAGGCCUGGUUAGUACUUGGAUGGGAGACCACCUAGGAAGACCAGAUGCUGUAGGUA